rnacentral:rRNA from 1 species
AGCAGUCGCCGCGGGAAUACAGAGGGUGCGAGCGUUAAUCGGAUUUACUGGGCGUAAAGCGUGCGUAGGCGGCUUCUUAAGUCGGAUGUGAAAUCCCUAAGCUUAACUUAGGAAUUGCAUUCGAUACUGGGAAGCUAGAGUAUGGGAGAGGAUGGUAGAAUUCCAGGUGUAGCGGUGAAAUGCGUAGAGAUCUGGAGGAAUACCGAUGGCGAAGGCAGCCAUCUGGCCUAAUACUGACGCUGAGGUACGAAAGCAUGGGGAGCAAACAGGAUUAGAUACCCCUGUAGUCCCUGUCUCUUAUCC